AUCUAUGGAACACCAUAGACAGCAUAAAUAUUGAGGAAAAUAUCGUUAUAAACAAAUAUAAAAACGAAAUGCAUGAAGUAAAAGAAAAGUAUGAAAUACAAAAUAAAAUAAAACAAAAUAGGAUAAAAGAAAUAUUUAGAUAUAUAAGAAAAAAAAUAUAUAUUUAUAACGUUGUAAGGAUGGGGCGUGGCGUACGUGAGCGGUAUGGAAGAAACAUGUAACGUUAUCAACGUUUUAUAAUAUGUUUUGAAUUUAAUAUUUUACUUAACAGGAGAGCAAAGCAUUCAAUUUUGACAAAAUAAAACUCAAUAAAGGGAAAAACUCUAAAGGACAACCAAAGCGGGGGAGGCCUAGGAGUGGUCAGGCUGCUGGUACAGAGUUUGUUGAGGAUGGAGACAAGAGGAAACAAACUCUGUACCAGAGAAAGAAAACCCUUUUUAAUAAGAAUAAAGGAGAGAAUUUCAGGCGCCCGCAUAGUAUGGCAUCAGCGUUGUUUCUUCUUAUUCCACAUCGGAAUACAUAAAUGGCCAAGGUAUAGAAGGAUUUCACAAAAUUGGAAGGCUUUAUGAUGGUCAUUGCCCUCCAAACAAGACUGGAGAGCUUUGGGUGAUUUGUAGCCAAGAAGUUUAGCUAAAUCCUCUCCGACAACUUCCCAUACAAGUUUUAUAAGUCCUGUAGGAAGAAUACAUGACCAUGCUAAGGUUGGAAGUGCGGAUGCUGGACGAUAAAUGUGCUCGUAACAUGGUGGAAAGGGAUAAUUUAUAUUACCCUUUGUCAUGUUCAUUUCCCAAUGGCCUUGUCCAGGCAACAGCAGAAUAUCAUGCAGGUGUUGAUGUUCCCUAAGAAUUCUGGAAGCUAUUACGUAUGGAAGUCCAUCACAACCGAUCACUGUCCAUGAUCUAACAGAGGGGACUUGAGUUGCGUCUUUCAGGGCUUCAAUUACAUCCUUCACGGCCUCGGAUGAACAGGGGUUCUUUGAGAUUGGAUUCCCAACCAUAAUAGAAGGGGGGCCAGCAUGAAAGUGGGGAAUAGAAUUGUAAGGGUCAUGUUUGAUUUUGGAUUUCUCGUGAGAAGAUUCCUCAUUCUUACGUUUUUUUCUCUUAUUGCCAAGCAUCGAGUCUAUUAAGUCAAAGAAGCCGUCAUGUCCAGGUAAUUGCUCUUUCAUAAUGAGAGAAAUCCUCUCUGAAAUGAAAGAUUUUCUGUAAUCCCUAAAAAGGGUGGAAUAGUGAGAGUAAGCAGACAAGAUGGACUGCUUGGGGAAAGAGAAAUUGCUGUAAAGCCAGUGCCUGGGAGACAGUUCUGCUUUCUGUUGGAUUUCCGUAGGACAGAAAGGAAAAAAGUGAACUACGGUCGUUAUUGCGCUCAAUAUGGCCUUUGCAUCAUAGUGAACUCUCCAGUUUCUGGCGAGUACUUGAUUGUUAUCAAAAAAGGUAAUGACGUCACUGGACGAAGAAACAUUUACAUGGGACAAAGAAUGGUCAGAUAUCCAGUUAAGUAUGGUAGAGUAUGAACCCGCAGGUCCACAAGAAGCAUUUAAAGUGCAAAUGACUUUGUUACUACAUAAGUAGUAUGACAACAAAUUCUUGGCGAAAGAAAAUGGCAAAACAACAUUUCUCUUUAAUAAGGAGUAAACACUUUCAACACCGAACGCUAUAAGGCUACAGUCGUCGGAGGAGAUGUUUUGAAUGUCAUAAUUGGAAAUAGCUAAGAGAAAAGUUGUUACGACGCUGUUUCUUCCUUUUAACCACUCGUGAACAUUCACUGUCUGUAAGAAAUUGUCAUUUUUGUAUUGUGUCUGAAUUUCACACAAGUCUUCCUGAAUAUGUGGCAAUUCACAUUCUACAAUUGUUUUUAUAAGUUUCUUUACACUGCAAUUGGACACUUUUUUGUUUUUUAUUAAUUCUAUAACUUCGUUGAUUUUUUGUUCAUUUUCAUCAUAAGAUUGUUUCAACAAACAUUGUUCUGCAUAAUUAGCACAUCCUGUACACAAAUAUAAUGCACGCUCACACAAAUAAUCUGCUGUCUGUAGAGCUUCCAGGACACACUUUUUGUACUUUUUACUUGCUAUUUUGUAAACCUUUGAUUGUUCAUUCUUAUUUAUUUCAUUGUGUUUUUUACAGCUACACACCGGUGGCAU